ensembl:snRNA U6 U6 spliceosomal RNA
GCUCGCUUCGGCAGCACAUAGUAAAAUUGGAACGAUAGAGAAGAUUAGCAUGGCCCCUGCACAAGGAUGGUGCGCAAAUUCGUGAAGCGUUCUAUAUUUUU